rnacentral:rRNA from 1 species
UACGUAGGGGGCAAGCGUUGUCCGGAUUUAUUGGGCGUAAAGAGCGUGUAGGCGGCCAGGUAGGUCCGUUGUGAAAACUCGAGGCUCAACCUCGAGACGUCGAUGGAAACCAUCUGGCUAGAGUCCGGAAGAGGAGAGUGGAAUUCCUGGCGUAGCGGUGAAAUGCGCAGAUAUCAGGAAGAACACCUAUGGCGAAGGCAGCUCUCUGGGACGGUACUGACGCUGAGACGCGAAAGCGUGGGGAGCGAACAGG